GGUGGUGCAUGGUUGUCGUCAGCUCGUGUCGUGAGAUGUUGGGUUAAGUCCCGCAACGAGCGCAACCCCUAUUGUUAGUUGCCAUCAUUCAGUUGGGCACUCUAGCGAGACUGCCGGUAAUAAACCGGAGGAAGGUGGGGAUGACGUCAAAUCAUCAUGCCCCUUAUGACCUGGGCUACACACGUGCUACAAUGGUUGGUACAACGAGUUGCGAGUCGGUGACGGCGAGCUAAUCUCUUAAAGUCAAUCUCAGUUCGGAUUGUAGGCUGCAACUCGCCUACAUGAAGUCGGAAUCGCUAGUAAUCGUGGAUCAGAAUGCCACGGUGAAUACGUUCCCGGGCCUU
rnacentral:rRNA from 1 species